AGCUCCAAUAGCGUAUAUAAACAUUGCUGCAGUUAAAAAGCUCGUAGUCGGAUGUGUGGUCUGUCGAGCACGGACUUCCCUUUGGGAUGUUUCGAUCGUUCGCGGGCCAUUCUUCUGGAGAUUGCUUCUUCUCUUGAUUGAGUGGUUGCGGGAUCCAGAUCGUUUACUGUGAGUAAAUGAGAGUGUUCAAAGCAGGCAGUAAUGCCUGAAUCUUUUAGCAUGGAAUAAUAAUAUAGAACUUCGGAUCUAUUUUGUUGGCUUUUAGAUGCAAAGUAAUGAUCGAAAGGGAUGGUUGGGGGUGCUCAUAUUCAGGGGGUAGCGGUGAAAUGCGAUGAUCCUCUGAAGAUGAACUAAUGCGAAAGCAUUCACCAAGGACAUUUUCU
rnacentral:rRNA from 1 species